UGUAUUUAUUUGACGUAUAUGCUUCCUGACAAUACUUAGGUUUUGUACUACAUGGUAAAUUUCUAAUAUGCUAGAACGUACUAUGGUAAUUGUUAGUUUCAUUAGUAUUUCUUGGCAAAUAACCAUCGUUCUUUCUUGGUCUGCUGAAAAUAAUUGUCAUCAAUUUUUCUUUACAUUGCCUAUAAAGAAAGUGAUGUUUUUAAGAGAUAUUUCUGUAACAUGAGCAAUGGUGCUUGCUUCUUAUAUCCCAUAUAUUGUUGAAUUAUGUGCUUGUGAGGCAAAACGGUCAUGGCGGUCAUGCACAAGUGGUGAACGACUGGAAGGGGCGGCACCACGACGGUCAAGGUGGUUCAUACCCAGCCGGGGAGGACGAUGCACUGCGAUGGGCACGGUAAGAUGUUGCAGCAGCGAACAAGGAGGCGGAGAUGCACAAAGGAGAGGAGGAAAAGCGCGCUCUGGUACUAAUCCAAGCCCGGCGGCAACUCCCCCAUAUGGAUCAAGAUACUCCAGUUUCUGCAUAAGUUCUCCUUGGUACCAAUUUGCAUAUGUGCAGGGUCGGAGCCUUUGGUCUGUUUGCAACUAGAAUUUCAGACACUGGUACAGAGUACGUGUUGGGAAUAUAUACUGAAGAUGCUGAGUCCCGGGCUUCCCCGAACUUGGCUCUCCAGGCUGCAAUCGACGGAGGCCGGCCUUGCUUAUCUCCCCUCAUGGCCGAUCAAGGAGGCGAACAGUGUCAAUCUGUCAUCGACACCUCAGGGUCUAAAAAACAAGCACCGGGUCCUUCUCCUCCAUGAAUCAGAUGUCAACAAGGCAACACGAAUCUGCAUGAGGCUGAACAUAAAAGAAAGAAAAUGGAGACAACUCGACGAGUUUAGGAACAACAUGUCAUCGACGAUGAGCACUUUUCCAGUCAGGGAAAGGAUUUUUUUAUGCCACGCUAGGACUUUUCGUGGUAUGGAUUGAAAUAGUCCAGUGUCCAGUAUUAUGGGAUUCACUCAAUUCAAUGCUGCUUCAUACUUCAGAGUUCAGACAUUUAUAUGUGCACAACAUGUGCCUUCUAAUUACGAGGCGUCUACUGUUUCUGAAUUUUAGGGUGGCAGCAACAAGGGCGAGGAGCAUGAUCGUGACACAGAGAUGGGCAAGUGCAGGGAAUGCAGGCAGCGAAAAGUUGUUGCGUUGCGGUUACCAACUACAGGGCCAAAUAUGUCGGCAGCCAUCCGCGCAUUAACUAAUUUAUGGCAGUGCUUUUGCUGGAGAUGGAAAUUCAUAGAGAUGACGCCCUAUUGAUAGAGGCGAGUGGACUGGAGGUGUGCGUUGCACUGAGGGCAAAUCAAAGGCUGAAAGUUUGUCAAAUUUCCUGUGCUUGGGUAUGGCUGGUUUGUAAGCAAAUGAGGAUACUCUGCCUUUUUACAGUGGUAUAUUGUUUAGUGAGGGGAAGGUACUCUCUUUUUCUAGACGGAAGAUCAUCUGCUUUGUGGCAAGGGGAUAUAUCGUGUUACUUCUCCCCCAUUUUGGUAUGUCUAAAUUCAGUAACAAGAUUAUACUCCUUGUUAAUUUUCCACGGCGUAACUUCGUAACUACGCGUUUCUC